GGGACACGUGGUAUCCUGUCUGAAUAUGGGGGGACCAUCCUCCAAGGCUAAAUACUCCUGACUGACCGAUAGUGAACCAGUACCGUGAGGGAAAGGCGAAAAGAACCCCGGCGAGGGGAGUGAAAAAGAACCUGAAACCGUGUACGUACAAGCAGUGGGAGCACGCUUAGGCGUGUGACUGCGUACCUUUUGUAUAAUGGGUCAGCGACUUAUAUUCUGUAGCAAGGUUAACCGAAUAGGGGAGCCGAAGGGAAACCGAGUCUUAACUGGGCGUUAAGUUGCAGGGUAUAGACCCGAAACCCGGUGAUCUAGCCAUGGGCAGGUUGAAGGUUGGGUAACACUAACUGGAGGACCGAACCGACUAAUGUUGAAAAAUUAGCGGAUGACUUGUGGCUGGGGGUGAAAGGCCAAUCAAACCGGGAGAUAGCUGGUUCUCCCCGAAAGCUAUUUAGGUAGCGCCUCGUGAAUUCAUCUCCGGGGGUAGAGCACUGUUUCGGCAAGGGGGUCAUCCCGACUUACCAACCCGAUGCAAACUGCGAAUACCGGAGAAUGUUAUCACGGGAGACACACGGCGGGUGCUAACGUCCGUCGUGAAGAGGGAAACAACCCAGA
rnacentral:rRNA from 1 species